rnacentral:lncRNA from 1 species
CCCUUUUUCUUUUGUCGUUAUAACUCAAGCUGUAAAAGCAAGGUCCAGUGAUGAUCCAUACCCUUUUUCCAGUGUCAUGUUGAAGAUCUUUAUGUAGAAGGCCGUUCCAAAGGAACUCUUUUUGUGUGGUGGGGGAUGGGUUUUCAUUCUUCUUGCUCAGGCUGGAGUUCAAUGGCGUUAUCUUGGCUCACUGCAACCUCUGCCUCUUGGGUUCGUGUGAUUCUCCUACCUCAGCCUCCCGAGUAGGUGGGAUUACAGCGCCCACCAUCAUGCCAGCCUGAUUUUUGUAAUUUUAGUAGAGGCGGGGUUUCAGCAUGUUGGCCAGGCUGGUCUUGAACUCCUGACCUCAGAUGAUCCUCCUGCGUCAGCCUCCCAAAGUGCUGGGAUUACAGAUGUGAACCACCAUGCCCUGCCAGAAAUUUUUUUUAAGAAGACUGUCUACUAAUGGAAUUCCUGGCCUGGAGAGGAUAUUGCUGUCAAAGGAAUGGAUUCAUUUUUUUAUUAAAAGAGAUGAACUUAUGAAUUCAACAGGUGAAGAUUUACAACUUGAUAAAUCAGCUUUGUGAGCUCCAACUG